AUUUACAAAAGGAAAAAGAGGAGAAGGCACAGAAAUUGCACCUAUAAUCAUUGGUACCAGAGUCAAAAAUGCCUAAAUGCAUUCUAAGUAGAUAAAUAGGAUUUUCCUUCCCCCACCCACAUAUGCUUAUCUUUGAGUGACACCUCUUGAAGAUGUCUCUCUCCAUGCACUGCAGAAGGAGCCUAAACAACAAGCGUAUAUUACACUUAACUUCUGGACACUUCAAGUUAAAGAAGGUGACUCUCAUCUGUGAAUUCAGAAAGGACCAGAUAUCACCUACCAGCUGCAGUAGAUCUCCAGUUCUCAAACAACAUUUAUCUAAGGGGUCAGAGUAUGUCACACACUGUAUUUGAGAAAUUAUACUAAAUUUAAAAAAAGAAUUAUCAGCAUUUAUGAAGAAAGAAUCCACAUAUAGCUUCCUGUGAAGUAAGCAACACUCCUCAGAGAUGCAGAGGAGGCAUCAGUCCACAAAACAUCCAGAUUCAGCUUAUUGUAAAAAAAAAAAAAAAAAAAAACAACAACAACAAAAAA